AUUUAAUUUUUUGUUUUCAUAGCUGAACUCUUUGAAUUUUUCUCUUAAAUGAUACUAUUUUUUUUCAUUAUUGUGAAAUUUUAUAUGAAUUUGUCCUCUGGAAGUUGUUCUUUUAAGUUAUUUAACAUGUGGGCUGGUUUUAGUUUUGGCUUUUGGCUUGUGGAUUUUGUUCUUAAAUACCAUUCAUAUUGAAUCUCUUAAUUUACAAAUUGGAAAAAUGGAGUCUAACUGUAACUCCAGGAGGAAACUUGCUGUAAAUUCUCAUUAGUUCUUAUCAUUCGGAGACAAUUUUGAUCUCGAUGAAGAGCUCAACAUGGAAAGAUGCCUGGAUGAUAAUGAAUGUAUGUGGUUGUCUUCCAGUUUUCCUUUGCCUUCGAUUUUUUUUGCAGGGCACAGACUCUAUGAAGUGAUGACUACCUGGGUGGUCUGCCGACAACAGAACCUUCACUGGGCUACUUCAUCAGUUCUUACAAUCUCCCCUGUAUACCAUUCUCAAUUACAACACAACAUGCAAUGGAACAGGAAAAGUAAUACAAUCAUAGAAGAUAAUGAAAAUAUGUAUUGUAUUGAAUAUUUUCCCAUGAAGUUUACAAAUUAAUUCUCCAAUACAAUGACUAUUUCCAUUUACUGCUACUACUAAUCAAUUACAAUUUUGGCAACCAUUUAAUCACCAGAAAGUUACACAAAAACUGAGUUGAAUCCCCACAGUGCAUGCUCAGCAUCCGAGAGAACAACUCUCUCCCCACUUUUCUUUAGUUGUAUCACCUGCCUCCCUUUCAAGCACCUGCUCUCCUUUUUCAAGUUUUCCACAGCUACUUCUUUCCCUCCUUCCCCUGUUUUGCCACGUCUCAUAUUUUUAAUGGCUGGUUUUGCAUUAGGAUAACAGCCUCCCGAUUUUGUAUUAGAGUAAUAGCCUUUUGAUCCCUUUCUCCAACUGUUACAUUUCUCCCUUUUAUACCCUCUCUUUUCCUGCAGGAAAUAUAUAUAUGAGUCCUAACAAGAAGAAACUUUCCUAGAAGGCCUGGUUCCAGGGAAUUCUGAAAUAGAUUUAGGAACCGAUCUCAAUUCAACUUCUCAGGUUUGGGAUAAGGCGAAAACCUGUAGCUCCAAUCCUGAAGGCAAAUUGUUAAAUUAUCCUGAAGAGACCCUGGAAGAUCUGGAUGAUGAUGAACCUCUAUUCUGGCCAUUUAAACUUGAGCGGUGUUGGAAUUCUGAAGAAACCUCGAAAAGCUUCACAAUGUCCCCCCGGAAAGAUAUAAAAAAACUUGGAAAUACUCCUGAAGGGACCUGUAAAAUGCAUUCAAAAGAGAGGUCUAGGAGAAAAGCAAUGAUGAACUCAGGCAGUAGCAAAAAGAAUGUCAGGAAAGUCAACAACAUGCCUUUGAGAUUGCGAAAAUCGAAAAAAACUCUGCAAAAAUAGUUCCAUUAGAGAUUGCAGAUGAUAUAAAAGAAUUAGGAUCUAAGGAUGGUUAUCUCUUCCAGGAUGUUUUUGCAAUGAAGCAGGAAAUUCCAAUCGAGACUUUUUUAGGCCUUGGCGAAUUCGAUGGACCUGAGGGGGUAGAUUCUGAUGUUAAUGCUGAUGUUUUCUUCAUGGAAGUGUCUUCAUGAGAAUCCAGGAACAUUACUGUCUUCUUUUGGUAGUUAAAGGAUUUUACAAGAGGGAUUGAACAAUAGACGCUUUGUUCCAUUAGGUAUCAUUUAGUUCUUUAUCAGAUGGGAGAUGUGUUCAAAUUGCUGAUAUAGCUAGUAUGUAAUGUUUGAUUCAAUUGGAAGAUAGUAGAGCUUUCAAAA